rnacentral:misc_RNA from 1 species
GAUGAAGAACGCAGCGAAAUGCGAUAAGUAAUGUGAAUUGCAGAAUUCAGUGAAUCAUCGAAUCUUUGAACGCACCUUGCGCUCUUUGGUAUUCCGAAGAGCAUGCCUGUUUGAGUGUCAUGAAAAUAUCAACCUUGACUUGGGUUUUGUGCUCUAGUCUCGUCUUGGAAUUGGGUGCUUGCCGCUUUUACGAGCGGCUCACCUUAAAUGUAUUAGCUGGAUCUGUCUUUGAGACUUGGUUUGACUUGGCGUAAUAAGUAUUUCGCUAAGGACAUUCUUCGGAGUGGCUUCGUUUCUAGGACGCUUGUCCGCUUUCCAAUACAAGUUCCACCUCGUGGACAUGACUUUUUAUUAUCUGGCCUCAAAUCAGGUAGGACUACCCGCUGAACUUAAGCAUAUCAAUAAGCGGAGGA